rnacentral:rRNA from 1 species
UUAGUAGUCAUACGCUCGUCUCAAAGAUUAAGCCAUGCAUGUGUAAGUGUAAAUAUACUAGUUUGGAACUGCGAAUGGCUCAUUAUAUCAGUUAUAGUUUAUUUGGUGAAGUGUACUACUUGGAUAACCGUAGUAAUUCUAGGGCUAAUACAUGAGAAAGUCCUCUGGUGAGGUGUGUUUAUUAGAAUGAAAACCAUAUGCUUCGGCAUGAUAGUGAGUAAUAGUAACCUAUCGUAUCGCAUGCUUAAUGUAGCGAUGAGUCUUUCAAGUUUCUGCCCUAUCAGCUUUCGAUGGUAGUAUAUGGGCCUACCAUGGCAGUAACGGGUAACGAAGAA